rnacentral:rRNA from 1 species
CCAUUAGAUGUUCUGGGCUGCACGCGUGCUACACUGAUAUUGCCAAUAUGUCAUUCUUAUCCGAAAUGGAUUGGGUAAUCAAGUAAUGAAAUUUCAUGCUUGGAAUCGGUAAUUGCAAUUUUAUCGUGAACGAGGAAUUCCUAGUAAGCACUAGUCAUCAGCUAAUGUUGAUUAUGUCCCUGCCCUUUGUACACACCGCCCGUCGCUACUACUGAUUGGGUGUUCAAGUGAGAUGCUUAGACCCUUGUUGCAUGGUUCAUUAUUGUGCUCCGAAAGGAAAAAGUUUCAAGCUUGAGUGUCUAGAGGAAGUAAAAGUCGUAACA